GACGAACGCUGGCGGCGUGCCUAAUACAUGCAAGUUGAGCGAUGAAGAUUGGUGCUUGCACCAAUUUGAAGAGCAGCGAACGGGUGAGUAACGCGUGGGGAAUCUGCCUUUGAGCGGGGGACAACAUUUGGAAACGAAUGCUAAUACCGCAUAACAACUUUAAACAUAAGUUUUAAGUUUGAAAGAUGCAAUUGCAUCACUCAAAGAUGAUCCCGCGUUGUAUUAGCUAGUUGGUGAGGUAAAGGCUCACCAAGGCGAUGAUACAUAGCCGACCUGAGAGGGUGAUCGGCCACAGUGGGACUGAGACACGGCCCAAACUCCUACGGGAGGCAGCAGUAGGGAAUCUUCGGCAAUGGACGAAAGUCUGGCCGAGCAACGCCGCGUGAGUGAAGAAGGGUUUCGGAUCGUAAAACUCUGUUGGUAGAGAAGAACGUUGGUGAGAGUGGAAAGCUCAUCAAGUGACGGUAACUACCCAGAAAGGGACGGCUAACUACGUG
rnacentral:rRNA from 1 species